rnacentral:rRNA from 1 species
UACGUAGGGUGCAAGCGUUGUCCGGAAUUAUUGGGCGUAAAGGGCUCGUAGGCGGUCUGUCACGUCGGGAGUGAAAACUCGGGGCUUAACCCCGAGCCUGCUUCCGAUACGGGCAGACUAGAGGUAUGCAGGGGAGAACGGAAUUCCUGGUGUAGCGGUGAAAUGCGCAGAUAUCAGGAGGAACACCGGUGGCGAAGGCGGUUCUCUGGGCAUUACCUGACGCUGAGGAGCGAAAGUGUGGGGAGCGAACAGG